GCAGCUCAAACGAUGGGAGAGGAAAGAGUGCAAACCAAACAGCCUCCCAGUUCUCCACAAAACGCAUGUUAAAGUUGGAGACACUGUAAAAAUCAUCUCUGGAAAUGACAAAGGUAAAACCGGAGAGGUUACAAGGGUUAUCAAGCAUAACAGCACCAUAGUAAUAAAAGAAAUCAACUUGAAGACAUAGCACGUGAAGAGCAGGGAAGAGGGAGUACCGGGCCAAAUAAUCAAGGUUAUUUUCUCAUCUCCAAUCUGUUAAAAACUUUAUAUUUUCUGUUGUCAAUCUCUUUGCAUCCAUGAAUUUAGAGCUUUUCUUGUUAUCUAAUUGUUCUGUAGUGCUCUAGUAAUAUAUGUCGUUUUGUUUCAGAUUGAGGCACCUAUUCACAGCUCAAAUGUAAUGCUAUACUCUAAAGAGAAAAACGUGGCUAGCCGAGUUGGUCAUAAGACCCUAGAAAAUGAGAAACGAGUUUGUUACCUCAUGGCACUUUAGUGUAUUCUUCCUAGAGAAUGUGAAACUAUGGAACUCUUGUGCAGCAUUAGCAACUUUACUCGGUUUACUUGUUUUAUGAAACAUCAUUAGUUGGUGGCGGAGCCAGCAUCCGGCGAGGGGCGCUGCUGCACUUGCUGGAUCCGUCUGAAGUUGUAGUUGCAGUCGGAAGCCGCCAGCUAGGGAAGAGGAAGAAAAAAUCACACCUGCGACAGGGCAAUAGGAAGAAGAUACCCACCUUUUUUUCCCCAGUUUUGGGCAUCUUAUUUUGUUUUUGUUUUUGAUUUUGUUUUUGAUUUUUAUUUUAUUUAUUUAUUUAUUUAAUAAGCCCAUACCCAAUAG
rnacentral:lncRNA from 1 species